rnacentral:rRNA from 1 species
GACGAACGCUGGCGGCGUGCUCAACACAUGCAAGUCGAACGGAAAGGCCCUGCUUUUGUGGGGUGCUCGAGUGGCGAACGGGUGAGUAACACGUGAGUAACCUGCCCUUGACUUUGGGAUAACUUCAGGAAACUGGGGCUAAUACCGGAUAGGAGCUCCUGCUGCAUGGUGGGGGUUGAAAAGUUUCGGCGGUUGGGGAUGGACUCGCGGCUUAUCAGCUUGUUGGUGGGGUAGUGGCUUACCAAGGCUUUGACGGGUAGCCGGCCUGAGAGGGUGACCGGCCACAUUGGGACUGAGAUACGGCCCAGACUCCUACGGGAGGCAGCAGUGGGGAAUAUUGCACAAUGGGCGGAAGCCUGAUGCAGCAACGCCGCGUGCGGGAUGACGGCCUUCGGGUUGUAAACCGCUUUCGCCUGUGACGAAGCGUGAGUGACGGUAAUGGGUAAAGAAGCACCGGCUAACUACGUG